CGUUUCCCCCUCCCUCUGUCCCCACCUUUCUUUUUCCCCUAAAGGCUUCACUUUCAUCGCUUGCCUGGCGCUUCUGGAGCUUGAACCGUGAUUGGCCGAGAGCCCGCAUUGUCCCCGCCCCUCAGGGAAGACACCGCCCGGAAAUGCCCUUUCCUCUGCCCAUAGAUGGGGACCACGCGGCCGAAGGAGGCCAAGCCAGGCCACGCCGGGGACUUCCCCAAGCUAUCCCGGUUCUGGCCCCCAAAGCGCCCCUCCCUUCCGGGAACUGGGCUGGCUACCGUGUGAAUUCACCUAAGGCCAUUAAUUGUCAUAGGUCUCGCCGGCAGACAAAGAUGGCUCGAGUUCAGCACGUUUGACCGGGGCUUGAUAGUGACUCCGCUCCUGAUCGAAGCGAGCAGAUGGGUCUCUUUCGUUCGACCAGACUUAUGAGCAAGCGACAGUCUGAAUCAAGUAGUUCCUGGAUUAAUUGGUUAUAUUGUAUACGCAUUUGUGUCUCCUGUCCAUGCUAUUUGGGUUAACAGCAGUCUACUAACCCGGGGGUGUCAAUAAUGACCGGAUAUGACAUUAAUGCGACUUGGUUGCGCCAGGUGUGGGAGAGGCUGCCUUGGCUGGUGAGCCCCUGGAAGGUUUGCCAUUGCAGAUCAGCACUGGGGGAGGUGGCGCGGGUUGUGGGAGCUGCCUCACCAAGUUUGCCAGGCUGGGAAUAUGGGUUAGUUUCAUAUGGCUUGUAAUCCUGAUUAACCUUCUCAGUCAGUCGAUCCGACCCCUAGGCUACCUGUUUGACGCCCGUCUUAGCCUAACCCUCCAUCACAGCCUUGCCUUGCUUUUAUGGCAAAACACCACACACACAGCACCUGAUAUCUACAACUGAGCUAGCCAGGGAUUCAGCCUUCUGCAUUUGAAGCAAGCACGGUACCAAAGCCCAAAACUGCCUCCCUAGCUAGCAGCAAUCACUGGCAAAGAACUACAGAGCAGCCUGAAUUCCCACCUCCUGACUGCUGGAAAACUUACAACAACUCAUCUAGCUUUCGGACUUGACCAGGCAGGCAUUGCUGAUAAGAUGUUGCCCCCAUCGGGGCUAGAAACUUGUUUUUUAAAUAAAAAUUAAGGAAGCUGAA